ensembl:rRNA 5S_rRNA 5S ribosomal RNA
UAAUGUGGCCAUAUCACCCUGCAGCUCAAGACCGCUUACUCACUAUAGCUAAGCAGGCUUGAGCCUGGUCAAUACCUGCAUGGGAGACCACACAGAAAAACUUGGUUGCUGCUGGAA